UACGGUCCUUCAGUGACUCUCACUGUAACUAUGAAGCUGGUGUUCCUGCUCGCCUGUCUUCUGGCGGUGACCGUCGCCAGCGGCUAUUACGACGAUGACGAUUACGACUACGGCUACGGCUACGGCCGCUACGGCGGCUACAGCCGACACUACGGGUACAGUCGGUACUACCCCGGAUACGGAUACAGCCGGCACUAUGGAUACAGUCGGCGCUACCCAGGCUUUGGAUACAAACACUUCUUCUAGACAGAGCUCAGCAAGACAGCCUAAGCCAACGUCACUCGUUCAAAACUGCCGGCAAAGUCAUGGCUGAAAGACAGCAUGAUCGUCACAAUUGCAAUAGGCCUAGGUUAAAUUGAAUAAAUAGCGCUUUAUUUGCUCAUCGUAUGACACAACAACAACACCCACAAACACCAUCCAUACACUAACGCACAAACACAACAUAAAUAAGUCUGUCUUUCCUUCAGUCACCUUGGUGUUCUUGAUAUUCUUUCAUAGCUUCGAGUUAUGUUAUAGUAUCUAUCCAUAUGUGUUCUAACCUCUGUGUCCUUUUAGUGUUGCGAGAAGUGAGAAAUAAAUGUUUCGUGUUUC